rnacentral:tRNA from 1 species
AGGAUUGUAGCUCAGUUGGUUAGAGCACCGCUCUGAUAAGGCGGGGGUCAGUGGUUCAAGUCCACUCAGUCCUACCA